GACGAACGCUGGCGGCGUGCUUAACACAUGCAAGUCGAACGGAAAGGCCCUGCUUUUGUGUCGUGCUCGAGUGGCGAACGGGUGAGUAACACGUGAGUAACCUGCCCUUGACUUUGGGAUAACUUCAGGAAACUGGGGCUAAUACCGGAUAGGAGCUCCUGCUGCAUGUUGGGGGUAGGAAAGUGUCGGCGGUUGGGGAUGGACGCGACGCUUCCGAGCGUGUUGGUGGGGUGGUGGCUUACCAAGGCUUUGUCGGGUAGACGGCCUGCGGGGGUGACCGGCCUGAUGGGGACAAGGAUACGGCACAGACUACUCCGGGAGGCAGCAGUGGAGAAUAUUGCCACAUGGACGUAAGCCUGCUGCAGGAACGAAGCGUGCGGGAUGACGGACUUAGGGUGGUACACGGCUGUCGCCUGUGACGAAGCGCGAGUGACGGUAAUAGGUAAAGAAGCCCCGGCUAAAUACGUG
rnacentral:rRNA from 1 species